GCUAGCAGUUCUCUCAGACGCUUCCUGUCUCUCUUCAGAGAAGGUGUGAGUAGAAGAAAGCAAAGUAGAGCCAUGACCUCCCCACCAGAUGGCUGGCUGAGCUCCCUCUCAUGCCAUUUGUCCUUCUGGACAUUUGUAGACCUGGAAGAUGCAUGCUUAGGGAUGGAGGGAACUCUGCCUCAAACUACAAUCUAUUGUGGGCUCACAAGGAUCCUUGGUCUUGGGUGCAAAAGGAUUCAUGGACAGAAUUCUGGAUUGGAAAAUGGAGGAUGUACAAAGAUUUGGGUCAGAAAAGGUAACAUUUUUGUUUCAAUAAUCUCUAAUUGAAAUGUAUGACAAAUACUGC
rnacentral:lncRNA from 1 species